AAUUGGUCGAGAGCUGAUGUCGCUCUCCUGACGAGGCCAUGGCAAGCCGAAACUAGUU
rnacentral:hammerhead_ribozyme from 1 species